GACGAAGGAUGCAAGCGUUAUCCGGAUUCAUUGGGUUUAAAGGGAGCGUAGGUGGCCUUAUAAGUCAGUGGUGAAAUCUCUGGGCUUAACCCAGAAAUUGCCAUUGAUACUGUAGGGCUUGAGUAUAGAUGCCGUUGGCGGAAUAUGACAUGUAGUGGUGAAAUACAUAGAGAUGUCAUAGAGCACCGAUUGCGAAGGCAGCUAACGAAACUAUAACUGACACUGAGGCUCGAAAGUGUGGGGAUCAAACAGG
rnacentral:rRNA from 1 species